GAGGGCAGACGGGUGAGUAACCGUGGGAACGUCCUUUUGUCGGAAUACUCGGAAACGUGUGUAAUACCGAUGUGCCCUUCGGGGGAAAGAUUUAUCGCAAGACGGCCCGCGUGAUUAGCUAGUUGGUGAGGUAAGGCUCACCAAGGCGACGAUCUAGCUGGUCUGAGAGGAUGACAGCCACACUGGGACUGAGACACGGCCCAGACUCCUACGGGAGGCAGCAGUGGGGAAUUUGCAAUGGGCGAAGCCUGACAGCCAUGCCGCGUGAUGAUGAAGGCCUAGGUUGUAAACUCUUUUCACCCGGUGAGAUAAUGACGGUACCGGAGAAGAAGCA
rnacentral:rRNA from 2 species